rnacentral:SRP_RNA from 1 species
GCUGGGCGUGGUGGCGGGUGCCUGUAGUCCCAGCUACUUAGGAGGCUGAGGCGGGAGAAUUGCUUGAACCCAGGAGGCGGAGGUUGCAGUGAGCCAAGAUUGUGCCACUGCACUCCAGCCUGGGUGACAGAGUGAGACUCUGUCUCAA